rnacentral:lncRNA from 10 species
GUUGUGACUGCCCUGGGUGUGCCUGCCUACAAGACAGCCCAUCUUGCAAGACUGUUAUUAAAAGUCUCAGUUUCGCUGAUCUUCGUGCCUGAGACGACGAGAAAGAGAACAGACCACCUGUCCAGAUAAUUUGCCUUUGGAGUCUGCAGGGCUGGUGAAGGCAUCCUGAGAUGGGGGAGGCCCCUGGGGACCUCCACAGUCAGGGCUCCCACCUCCUCUCCCACACCGCUCUGCCUCAUGCCCUGGGUUGCCUGUCUGACUGUCUCAAGACUGGGGGUUCUCCGGUGAGCAGAUGGCUGCUUAGCGUCUGAGGGGCAGACACCAUGCCGUGGUGACAGCGUGAUCCCUUGAUGGAAAGGCCACCAGAACCACUGGUAGUGCAGCUGGACACUGCGGAGCCCUGGGACCACACCCGCUGCCUCCCUCCAGACUCCUUAGGUCUAUGCCGUGUGCCUGGCUUUUUCCAACCACUCCGAAUUGAUCAUUUCCUAAUGACCACAUGGCUCAGAAACUCACAGCACAUCCUUCUAGGGGCCUCUUUCUCCCAAGUCCUCCCAGGGACUUGGCAGCUUCAUCUCUAAGGCCUGCAGAGGCUGUGGCUAUGGCUGUCCAUUGUUCUCGCUCCUUGGCUUCAGUUCAGAGCCAUCAAAUCCCUGCAGCUCGCACACUGGAACAUUCAUAUUUUGGAUAAGUCAACAAAACAGCUUCUAGAAAAUGGAAAACCCAGAGUGUGAUCUACCAGGAGCUCCUGGUUUCAACCAGUUCCUUGCUGUACCUGCUGGGCCUGUGAUACGAAGAAACAUCAUGGCUUCAAUGGCAGCCUUGGAAAUGAACUUCAUUGAAAGGGAAUUUACACUGAGGUUUAUGAUUGCUGCUAUGAAAAGAGUGCACAUCCUUUCCUUCGAAACACAAGACUAGAAAAAAAAAACUCUAAAAUUCAUACGGAACCACAGAAGACCCUGAAUAGCCAAAGCAAGCUUGAGAAAAAAGAUUUAAAAGAAAAGCUGGAGACAUCACAGCUCUUAGGUCAAAUUAUACUACAAAACUAUGGUAAUCAAAACACUAAGGUACUGGCAUAAAAACAAAUACGUAGACAAAUGGAACAAAACAGAUAGCCCAGAAAUAAGCCCAACCAUACAUGGUCAACUAGUUUUCCACAAAGGCACCAAAGAAUCAUAAUGAGGAAAGGAUGGCCUCUCCAAUAAAUGACCUUGAGAAAACUGUAUAUCCACAUGCUAAAAAAAGAAAAAAAAAAAAAAAAAGGAAAUUGGACCCUUCUCUUCCAACAUGCACAAAAAUCAACUCAAGAUGGACUAAAGACCUAAAUGUAACACCUGAAACCAUAAAAGUCCUAAAGGAAAACACACAAGAAAAACUCUAUGACAUUGGCCUUGGCAGUGAUGUUUUGGAUAUUUCAAGUUAACUCGUCAUUCACUGACUCCACAUAAAAUCCAUCCCUCAAAUAUUCUCAGAACCUAUCACCAAGACUGUGAUCACUUCUUUGGGAUGCUUUAAAGUUAAUUAGGAAAAAUAAAACUGGGUUUUACCUUUGAAAAACUUUCUAACUGUACUGAUGUGCUCAAAUAGAUGGACACAUGAAUGAAAAAUCCAGAAUUUAUUCUUUCCAUGUGGUCUAGGUCCCUCCAUAUGUUUCUCUGGAUUUUGCCAUUCACUGAAUGCACACGAACACUGAAUUUACUCUCUAUUGCUGUGUAACAAGUUAUUGUAAAAUGUAUUGGCUUAAAACAACAAAUACCAUUUUUGCAGCUUCUGUGGAUCAGGAAUCAUGAAGCAGCUUAGUCGGGUAUUUCAGGCUCAGGGCCUCUCAUGAGGUUGCACUGUAGAUGUGAGCCAAGGCUGCCGUCAUCUGAAGACUGGACUAGGGAUGGAAGCUCUGCAUUUGGGAUCAUACUCAUGGCUGUGGCCCGGAGGCCUCAUUUUUUCACCCUUGGGCCUCUCCGUGGGGCUGCUGCCAACAGGGCCUCCCUAGAAGGAAUGACCCAAGAAGAAGAAAGAAAGACCAAGCUAGAAACCACCGUGUCUUUCAUAACCCAAUAUCAGGAAUGAAGAAGCACCUCUUCUGUGUUCUUUUGGUCUCGCAGACCAACCCUGGUACCAUGUGGAAGGAAAUUACACAAGAGUGUGACUAUCAGGAAUUGAGGAUCACUGGGGCACCUGGAGGCUGGAGUCUACAGGUACUUUAUGGCGAGUCAUGGCGAUGGUGAGGAAGCAGCUACUUUCAUCACAGGUAAAAACUGAUACACAAAACACACAAACAGAGAGGAGCCCUAUAUUUCUGCUUCUCCUUCAGGGUGAAUAGCAGCCACCAUUCACCCUACCAGAGAGAUGUUCUUUAUUUUUUUAUUGCUGGCUGGAUCUUAGGCAAAAUAAGCCUCUCCUGUUUCCCCAGUUGAGGACAAUUGAGAAAGGCUUAUGUUUGCCAAAGAAUAUCUCAUGCUAGCAACAAAACUUUUAAGGAAAUAAUUACAGAAAGCACACAACACCCUACAGUGAGCAGAACGCAGCUCCUUCCCUCCACCCACCUCCCCACUACAGAGAAUGAUCCAGCCCAAUGCCAAAAGCACUGAAGCCGGGAACCCUGACUGAGAUCUCAGCUUCAAUGCUCCUUCCUCAGAGACCUUUCUGUCCCUGACCUUUCUGAGGAGUAUACCCUCUUUUUAUGGGCCCUCAAAACCCCCUCCCUGUGGCAUUUGUUUUAGUUAACAAUUCUACACUUAUGCAUGUGAAUUUGUGAUUAGCAUCCAUCUCCCCCAUCACAGUUAUGAGGGCGAGAGCUAGUUUCCUCCCUGUUGUGCAGGGCACAUAGCACAACGCCUGGCCCCGUAGUCAGGCUCACUAAAUAUUUGCUGAAAGUAGAAAUGAAUAAACAGGACUGUAGCUUCUAGGGGCUUCUGUGGGAGCCAGUAUCGCCAUUCAUACCUGGGGAUUAUGGGAUAUUUUCAACAAAAACAUGCACUUUGCACAAAGUGAAAGUCAGAGCCUGGAGCCUGUGCAAACGGUGCCUUGAGCAGCUCUACGGCGAGUGUGAGGAUGCAGUCAGGGGUCCUUCAGCAGGAGCCGGGGCAUCCUGCAGAACACAGGGCCGGGAUCUUCAGAUGUGCAGCAGGGAGGGGGCUUGGCACAGCCCCAUGAGUUUGAGAAGCUUGAGGCAUUAAGGUGAGUUUCUUGUGGUGCAGCGCGCCAGCAGUGAAGGGAAGUGGUUCUCUCUCCCCUCAUGCACAGACACGCACAAUGUCCAGGAUCCAGGCAGAGAAGCUUCAUCAAAGUUGUCUGUGUUUUGCCGCAGCCGAAUAAAAGCUGUAGGCUUUUCUAAGAAGGGUUAUAAAAGGGAGCAGCCGUGAAGCCCGUGGACAAGUCAUCAAUUACAGCAAUUACAGUAGCACCAUAACCUUCCCAGGCUUGCUGGAGGGAGGUUGCUGUGGCCACAGGAGGUGCACCGCGGAUUACAGGACUAAAGGCCUUCUCUGCUUCUUCACAGUGAUCCAUCUCUGCCCAGCACCCAAGUACUGAGUUAACCUACAACGUGGUUCAGAAUUAAAACAUAAAAUGCCAGGGCCCUCCCCCAGUUAGCAGUAUUGGUUGGAAACAUGUUUAGCAGUGAGUAACAGAAGUCCCAAGAAAUAAUGGCUAAAACAAACAAGAGUAUGUGUCUUCACAUAGUAAGGUAUCAAGAGGUGGCUGUCACUUUAAGUUCACUUUCUCAUGGAUGCCAUCAAACACCAGGUUUAUUCAACCUUCAUGCACUGCCAUCACCUUCCCAUCCACGGACUCUUCCGACAUCUGCUGAACGUCAUCACAAGGGGGCUGCCAUAGCUCCACCCGUUGUAUCAGCAUUCAGGGAAGGAGGACAGUGCCAACAAUAUGUCUGCUCAUUUUUUUAAGAGAGGAAAAGACUCUCCUGGAAGUCCACGGCAGCAUUAUGCUUACUUCUUACUUGCCAGAACUUUGUCAUAUGGUCAGACUUUAAAGCAGAGAGGUAAGAAAAUAAAUAAUCCAUCUUCAAGUCUCUAUAGUGGAUGGCAUCAGAAAAGGGGGCAGGGAUGCCUGUUUUAUAAGUCAUCUCACGUUUUCUGCUGCGUCAGCCAACUUAAUAAUUAAUCUACAUUGCCCCCCAUUUACAUUUUUUGCAAAGCAAAAAUGGCAGACUUACACCAGAACCCUAAGGGUACCAUGACACCAUGCAGGCUUUCAUUCAUUCCUUCAUGCUUCCAUUCCCUUAUUCAUUCAUUCAUAUCACAAAUAUGUGUUGGUGGCCUCCUGUAUUUCAGGCCUUUGCUGUCAGUGGAAUACAGCAACACACAAGACAGACACAGUUGCCUUCCCGCUGAGGCUGGACGUCUACAAAGAAACUCUGGACAGCUAUUUGCCAAGGCGAUGGGCACUACAGAUGAGACGCACAAAUGAUAUGACUCAUGGGUGACGCUGGGCAAACCUCGGUGGUUGAGUCCUGUUGGGUUUUCUCAUAGGAGGUGCUUCCAGGAACAUUCUUGUGCAAGACCGUGUGAGAGUAUCUCCAAGAUAGACAAGUGGAAGUGAAAUUCUGGGCCAUAGUGGAUGAACACUUGCCAAGAGGUGUUGACAAAUUAGUCUUAAAUGAACCUGUACUGCAUUUUAAGGCCUGGGAGCUCUUAGUGGCCCCAUCCUUUCCAAAGCUUGUGUGGUUGGCCGAGUAAUGUCUUCCAAGAUGUCCAAUUCCCAAUCCCUGGAACUUCUGAAUGCUAGCCUGUAUGACAAAAGAGACUCUGAAGCUGGGAUUAAGUUAAGAAUCUUGAGUGGGGAGAUUAUCCUGGAUAAUCCAAAUGGGUCCUUAUAAGAAAGAGGCAUGAGAUCAGAGAACCAGAAGGUGAUGUGAGGAUGGAAUCUAAGAGAGAGUUGAGGAUGCUGUGGCUGCUGGCUUUGAAGGUGCAGGAAGGGCCAUGAGCCAAGGAAUGUGAGAAAUGGAGCUGGAGUUGCCAGAAAAGGCAAGAACAGGGAAUCUUCCUGAGAGGCUGCAGAAGGAGCCAGCUGUGCAACACCUUGACUUUAGCCCAGCGAGACUGUUUUCCAACUUCUGAGCUCCAAAACUAGCUUUCCAAGGUGAAAGUGUUGGACACUCUUUCUUCAUCUCAGAUUUAAUCAACUAAGAAUGCUGCAAAUUGAACACCAGUCCACAAAACUCAGGAAUACAUGAAAAGCAUUGUGCCUUAUUUUUAACUAACUCAAAUUCUAUGUCAGUCUCCCUUUUAUGCUGGAUGUUGGCGCUAAAUCUCAGUGGGUUCCUCAUUCUGCCAGACCUGUGUCCAGUUUGGGGGCUUCACAUAGAGCCACCCCAUCACAGGAGAGGGAAGGGUCUUGCUCUUGGUUGCCAUCACUCCACCCUCUUGUCUUCCGAGCUUUGAUGUUCACUUUCCUUUUCACCACUCGGAAGCUUCCUGCCAUGAUACAUUGAGACCUCAAUGUUAAUGCCAAUUGGGGUUUGGGGUUCUCAUAAACUCAGAAGUCCAGGAAAAUCGCCUGCUGCCUCCCACAACACUCUGAGGGCAUUCUGGAAUCCUACCACUUACCUGGAGCCUGCUGGCCUCAACUGUUUUGAAGUCUGUGUCUGGGCCAUGCAGGUAAAUGGGAGGAUGUUCUGUGGCCAUAAAAAUACCCGAAGUCCCACCUAAAGUUGAUGCAGGGUCUUCUGCAUUUCAUUGCAAAAUUGUUCUAUCAUUUCUAUAGUUUUCAGCCUACAGUCAGGGGCCAGGACUUUGCACCCUUGGUAAACCUCAAUCUCUUCUCCUUCCUGGCUUCUACUCCUUUCUCCCUCAAUCCCAAAUCAAGGCCCUUGAUUGUCUGGAGGUAGGAAAGCCUGGUUCUGGCUCAUGAUAUAGUCUACAUCAUAGCCUUUGUCAUCUCAUGGAUUCACUCAACAACCGUGUGUGGAUGGGGCCACCCAAUAUGUGCCAGGAGUUGAGGACACGCAGGGUUAUGAUGAUGAAAUAGAUAAGGGGCCCACACUCACGGACCCUGCAGGACAGUGGAGCUGUGGACCCAGCAUGCGAGUAAAGACCCAGUGAGCUCACCAGACAGAUCAUUUAAAUCAGGUGAUAGGACAGUGAAGGGCGGGGGCUGCAUUAGUUUUGGUGGCAAGAGAAGGAUUAUCUUCUGAGAGGAUCCACAAAGUAAAGAGGGCCGGUAUGACUGGGUAGAGUGAGGACCGUGGUUGAGGCAGAAGAUGGAGCUCUUUAUUGAGCUCUAGGGAGCCCGUCGGAUGGGACCUACGGGGCUUGAGGGAGCCCAUCGGAUGGGACCUACGGGGCUUGAGGGAGCCCAUCGGAUGGGACCUACGGGGCUUGAGGGAGCCCAUCGGAUGGGACCUACGGGGCUUGAGGGAGCCCAUAGGAUGGGACCUACGGGGCUUGGCGGACUUAAUUUUAAAUGUGGAAGAAGCCAUUGCAGAGCCUGAACCUGAGGUGUGGCAUGGUUCGAGUUACUUCAAACCAAAUUUAUUGAAAUCUCUUUGCAUAAAAUGCAAUGCGUAGAUCUUAAGAGUAUAGUUCAAUGAGAUUUGAUAAAUGUAUGCACCAGUGUAACAACUCCUCCAGUCAAGAUAAAGAAACGUCCCUCACUAUUUCCUCAUGCCCCUUCAUAGUCAAUAUCUGAUCCACUCAGCCUAGGCAACCAUUGAUCUGCUUUUAUCACCAUAGAUAUUUGGGUAUGAGUCUUUGUAUGAUCAGCUAUUUUUAUGUUGCUUGGGUAAAUAUUUAGGAAUAGAACUGCUGAGGCCAAGGAUAGAAUAUUUAACUUGAUUGCCGACUGUUUUUCCCAAGUGGUUGUACCACGUUCUGCCUCCACCAGCAUGUGUGAGUUUCCAGGGCUUCUUGUCCUUGCCAGAUACCAGGUGGUUGCAUGCCGUGUCCCAGUGGCUGUUGGGAAUCACAGUAGCUGGGCCCAAGAUGACUCUGGAGGACUUUACAUUUGCGCCCAUCUGUGGGUCCUCCUAUGCCAGUGUUUCCCAAAGCAUGGGCCAUGCGCAUUAUUCUUUCCAAAAUGAUGUCAUAUGGUGCAUAGGAAUGUCAUGGAAUACAAUGGAAUCACUCUGGAAGGAACUUUUCCCUUCUCAGGUGUUGUUUGAAUAUUCCUGAUGUGAUCGAGGAGAUUAACUGCUACUUAACAUCUCUGCACCGCUUGCUAAACUCCUUGUUAAAAUUAUGCUUUUUAUUUUGAAGGAGUUCUAGAUUCACAUGCGUUGUAAGAAAUAACAGAGAGAUUGCAUGUACUCUUCACCCAGUUUCUCCCAAUGGUAACAUCUUGCGAAACUAUGGUGCAAAAUCAAAACCAAAUCUCUUUUUAUAACAAAGAGAGGGUUCCCACCUCAAGCUCAGAUCCUUCCCUGUGUAGCUAGAACUUAGUAACAGUGUUUUAUUUUAUUAUAUUCAGUUUCAAGGGUUACAUUCUAUUUAUAACAAAUGAUACUGGUUUUCCCUUUACAAUAAUGAUAAAAUUUUAUUACUGAGUAAAUUGAUUUAUGUUUAAAAAUUGAGUUAUUUUAAAGAAUAUAUUAUAUAAAUGAUUGUGCUAGCUGUAUGAAAAUGAAAGUGAAUGAUACAUAAUUGAAUUUCAGGAAACACUGAAAACACUGAAGCUACACUAUCAAAUGGAAUGCUUUCCAGACCCUACUUUUUCUACAUUGAACAACUACUAUGAAUCUGAUACAUCAUGAAUAAACCCAUCAAUUCACUGCAUUUAUGCACGCAAUCGAUAUUUAUUGAGGGCCUUAUGAAUGUAACGAUUUUUCUGGGCCUUGAGGAUGACACAAAGAUGAAACAAAUCAGACAGAUAUCCUAAAUUCAAAUAAUGCAUAGCCUUGCAGGGAGACAUUCAUUCACUCCAUGAAUAUUUAUGAGCACCUGGCAGGUGGCAGGUGUAUUCUAAAAAUGAGGAGGAAGCAGCAGAGGCCAGUGGAGUGCAGCUGUUUGGGGGUUCACAUGUCACUGGUAAGACAGACAAAGAGCAGGAUUCAUGGCAUUUUCUAUGAAGAUGACAAAACUUCAUGGAAAAGUAAAUGCUUGGGGAGGAGACAUGGGGAGGCCUUGUUGUACAGGCAGGUCAGGGAUGGUCUAGCUGAGGAGGAGGCACCAGAGCUGAGGCUGACAUAAGAGAAGGAGCCAAACAUGCAAAGAAGCAGUGGGAAAGUGCUCCAGGCACAGCAACAGCAAAUGCCAAGGCUGUGAGCUGGGCAUGAAACGGGUAUAAUUAUUACACAGUAGCUCUAAUUCAGGAAGGAGGAAGGGCCAAGUGUCUGGAAGAUGCAGAGUUUGGAAUAUGGAAGGGAACAGGCAAAGCUGGAAACAGUCUGAGCCCAUAAAGGCUGCACAUCAGCUCUGUAGCCAUCGGUGGAGCUGAAAGAGACAGGACAAAGGCUCAUAGGAAAGGCAGGACCUGUCCUGAGCUUGAACAACAGAGACGACCUUGAGAAACCUAUUUGCAAAAUGCUUCAAGCAUAAAUGCCAUUUCCUACUAUAACUUUCCAUAGUAGCAGGUUGAAUUGAAUCCCCCAAAAUAUUACAUUCAAAUCCUAACCCCCAGUAUCUAUGAAUGUGCCUUUAUUUGGAAACAAUCUCUUUGUAGAUGUCAUCAAGUUAAGAUAACAUCAUACAGGAUUAGGGUGGGCCCUAAAUCCAAUGAUGUCCUUUUAAAAAGCUGGACACAGAAACACAGAGAGGAGAAUGCCAGUCUAAAGUGGAGGCAGAGCUUGGAGGGAUAUGCCUACAAUAAAACAAGAAACACCAAGGAUUUCUGGAGCCAAGAAAGAGGAAUGGAACAGAUUCUCCCUCAAAGCCCUCGGAAGGAACCAACCCUGCCAACUCUUGACUUCCAACUUCUGGCCUCAAGAACUGAAAUAACACAUUUCUGUGGUUUUAGUCCCCCAAGCUGUGGCAACUAUCUUCAGCAGCCCCAGGACGCUAACAUAGCUCUGCUUCCCUUUGCAGAGCUGGGCAGGGAUUCUGCCACCUGAGGGUUUGGCAUCCAAUUCUUCUGUGAGAUAUUUACUCUUAGUGCCUUAGGCGCCAAUUAUUGUCUUUGAUUAAUUUCAGGGCCUCAAAUUGUGAACCCCUCAGUUUUUCUAACAAUGCCCCUCCUAACCCCAGUCAAGGCCAGCAGUGUUGAAGGGUUCAUUGGGAGGGGACCUGCACUGGCUGUUUGGACUAUCAGCUCCACCAGUGCCUACUGUGGCCUGUGCUUUCUUAGCACAUUUUUAAAGAAAUAAGCUAUUGAACUUGUUGAAAUAAUAAAACAACCCAGGAAUCACCUGAUCCAAAUAAACAAACACCAAUUAACUGCCACUGUGGUGGGCAGAUUCUAGGAUGGUCCAAAUGCUACAGCCUUCUGAAAUUCACAUCCUGGAGUGAUCUCUUCACAAGUGUGGGAUGGACCUAGUGACUGGCUCCUAAUGAGCAGAAUAUGGUAGAAGGGAUAAGACGCUGCUUCUGAGAUUGGGUCAUAAAAAGGCUGUGGCUUUUGCCUUGGGCACUCUCUCCUGGCCACAUCCUAAGGCAGUCUCACAGACAGGCUCACUUGGUCAGGAAUGGUGGCCUCCCUACAGACACAUGAAUGAGCUUGCAAACAGACCCCAGUCAGCCUUGAGGUAACUGCAGGCCCAGUAACACCUGGGUGCAGCCUGGUGAGAGACCCCAAGCUGGAACCACCUAGCUCAGCCAUACCCAGAUUCCCAGCCCAUAGAAACUACAAGAUAAUAAAUGUUUGUUGUUUUCAGCCACUAGGUUGUUGGAAUAAUCAGCUAUUCAGCAAUAGAUACCCAGCGUCCUCACUGUGGGGCUGCAGAGUGCUUUGAAUACCAAAAUGUUUAUUAAAGAGGAAAAUUAUCUUGGAUGAGCAUAGAUCAGAUAAGGUCAGAUUAGGGUGCUGUACUUCAUUCAUUCAUUCAGUUAGGUACACUUCAUUCAUUCAUUCAGUUAGCCAGUCAGCCACACUCAUUCCUUUAUUCAUGCUGCUAUGUGCCAAGUAUUGUCCUGGGCACUGGAGAUAAUGAAAAUAAAAACAGCCCCUGUCCAUAAUGACAUCAUAGUCUAAUGAAGAUGACAGGGCAUAUUUAAAUAAUUGCUUUUGUGAGAUAAAUGCUAACAUAUGUUCAGUCACUUUUUCAACCAACAGACAUUUUCUGAGUGCUUGCCAUUGUGCCAACCUUGUGCUAAAUGCUGGGCUUCAUACCAUGGGCAAGACUGGCCUGGGUCCUUUUCUCGUGGAGGCCAUGGUCUGCGUAGGAGGCACUUCACCCUCCAAGUACACACAGGGAAAGAAUAACUGCUCUGUCUGGUCUUAAGGGAGGGCUUCCAAAACGAAGUUCUUGAAGGAAGCCUUGAAAAAAGAGUAGGAAGUACUCUUGUUCCAGUAGUUCUGGCAGAAGAAUGGGAAGGAAAUUCCAAGGAACAGAAUGUGUGUUACUUGGAAGCAUGUGACAAUGUGGUGUGUCUGUGUCUGCAGUCCAGCAAGGAGUUCGACCUCGCUGAAUACUUUGCCUCUGAUACCACAAAGAAGGGUGCUUCUGGAUGUUUACUGCAGCAAGACUUGCAACCCUGGACACUAAGCUACCACCUGAAUGUUCGUGGGUGCCUGUUGUCUACUCAGGAUCCACACCAUGGGCACCACUGUCCCCAAGGAGGGAAGGUAGAGCCCUCCCAGGGUUCUCAGCCUCAGUAUUACUGACUCACUCUGUUGAUAGCCUGUCCUGUGCAGUGUAGGAUGUUUAGCAACAUCCCUGGCCUCUGCCCACUAGAUGCCAGUAGCUCCCCCUCCCACAUUGUGACAACCAACAUUUUCCCUGGGUAUCACCAAAUGUCCCCUGGGUGGGGGCAAAAUUGCUCCCAGGUGAUAAUCACUGCUCUUUAGAACCAACAUAUUAUUAAAAGACCAGAGAAAGACAUGAUCUUAAUUCCUAAUUCUAUGUAAAAAAAAAAGAAAAGUGAAUGUAUGUGCAUGCCCAUAGCUAUAGGAAUUGAUGGCUAAGGUCUAUGGAGCACACUCUUAUGCUCCCCAAGGUUAAAGAAUUUCCAUGAGGAGACAGUGGUGUGACAGAGACACUCAAAGGAGGGUUUAGCCUCUUUCACUCAGUGUACUCUGCAAUGAUUAAAUUGAUUAUAAUAAGAAUGUUUCCAUGUUAUCAGUUGUUUAAAGAAGUUCAAAUAUGCCCUACUCUUAUGGCCAAAGGUAUUUGUAAACAUGUCAAAAAUGGCUAUGGAAGGUCUUGGCAGCAAAGACAGGAAAAGUUAGAAAGUAUAUGUGAGUUCCCUGAGACGGAAGGGAGAAAAACAACGCCAAACUGAAGAUAAGUGUAUCAGUUAUUGCCUACAUGCCAGGAAUACCAUAUGAGAGUUUAAGAAGUUAAAAUAGGCCGGGCGUGGUGGCUCACACCUGUAAUCCCAGC